rnacentral:rRNA from 1 species
UACGGAAGGCAGCAGUGGGGAAUUUUGGACAAUGGACGAAAGUCUGAUCCAGCCAUGCCGCGUGCGGGAAGAAGGCCUUCGGGUUGUAAACCGCUUUUGUCAGGGAAGAAAGCUCCGAACUAAUAUUUUGGGGUGAUGACGGUACCUGAAGAAUAAGCACCGGCUAACUACGUGCCAGCAGCCGCGGUAAUACGUAGGGUGCAAGCGUUAAUCGGAAUUACUGGGCGUAAAGCGUGCGCAGGCGGUUCUAUAAGACAGAUGUGAAAUCCCCGGGCUCAACCUGGGAACUGCAUUUUGUGACUGUAGAGCUGGAGUGCGGCAGAGGGGGAUGGAAUUCCGCGUGUAGCAGUGAAAUGCGUAGAUAUGCGGAGGAACACCGAUGGCGAAGGCAAUCCCCUGGGCCUGCACUGACGCUCAUGCACGAAAGCGUGGGGAGCAAACAGGAUUAAGAAUACC